rnacentral:lncRNA from 1 species
GAUGGGUGUUGAGCUUGAACGCUUUCUUAAUUGGUGGCUGCUUUUAGGCCUACUAUGGGUAUUAAAUUUUUUACUCUCUUUACAAGGUUUUUUCCUAGUGUCCAAAGAGCUGUUCCUCUUUGGACUAACAGUUAAAUUUACAAGGGGAUUUAGAAGGUUCUGUAGCUGUUCUUAGGUAGCUCGUCUGGUUUCGGGGGCCUUAGCUUUGGUUCUCUUUGCAAAGUUAUUUCUAGUUAAUUCAUUAUGCAAAAGGUACAGGGGUUAGUCCUUGCUGUAUUAUGCUUGGUUAUAAUUUUUCAUCUUUCCCUUGCGGUACUAUAUCUAUUGCGCCGGUUUACAAUUUCUAUCGCCUAUACUUUAUUUGGGUAAAUGGUUUGGUUAAGG